UACGUAGGGGGCAAGCGUUAUCCGGAUUUACUGGGUGUAAAGGGAGCGUAGACGGAAUUGCAAGUCUGAUGUGAAAAUCCGGGGCCCAACCCCGGAACUGCAUUGGAAACUGUAUUUCUAGAGUGUCGGAGAGGCAAGUGGAAUUCCUGGUGUAGCGGUGAAAUGCGUAGAUAUCAGGAGGAACACCAGUGGCGAAGGCGGCUUGCUGGACUGCAACUGACGUUGAGGCCCGAAAGCGUGGGGAGCAAACAGG
rnacentral:rRNA from 1 species